rnacentral:rRNA from 1 species
GAAAGCCUUCGGGUUGUAAAACUCUGUCUUCAGGGACGAAUGCUCUCUUUGCUAAGAGUGAAGAGAAAUGACGGUACCUGAGGAGGAAGCCCCGGCUAACUACGUGCCAGCAGCCGCGGUAAUACGUAGGGGGCAAGCGUUGUCCGGAAUCAUUGGGCGUAAAGGGCGCGUAGGCGGAUAUCUAAGUCAGGUGUGAAAACCUAGGGCUCAACCCUGGGAGUGCAUCUGAAACUGGGUAUCUUGAGUUCAGGAGAGGAAAGUGGAAUCCCCCGUGUAGCGGUGAAAUGCGUAACUGGAUGUGAGAGAAC